rnacentral:rRNA from 2 species
AGUCGAGCGUUCUGAGGGAGCUUGCUCCAAAGAUUAGCGGCGGACGGGUGAGUAACACGUGGGCAACCUGCCUGUAAGACUGGGAUAACUUCGGGAAACCGGAGCUAAUACCGGAUAAUCCCUUUCCUCACAUGAGGAAAGGCUGAAAGACGGCGUCUAGCUGUCACUUACAGAUGGGCCCGCGGCGCAUUAGCUAGUUGGUGAGGUAACGGCUCACCAAGGCCACGAUGCGUAGCCGACCUGAGAGGGUGAUCGGCCACACUGGGACUGAGACACGGCCCAGACUCCUACGGGAGGCAGCAGUAGGGAAUCUUCCGCAAUGGACGAAAGUCUGACGGAGCAACGCCGCGUGAGUGAUGAAGGUUUUCGGAUCGUAAAACUCUGUUGUUAGGGAAGAACAAGUAUCGGAGUAACUGCCGGUACCUUGACGGUACCUAACCAGAAAGCCACGGCUAACUACGUGCCAGCAGCCGCGGUAAUACGUAGGUGGCAAGCGUUGUCCGGAUUAUGUGCGUAGAGCGCGCGCAGUGGUCCUCAGUCUGAUGUGAA